GUCAAUGUUAGAAACUGAAAGUGAAGCAGGUUUUAGCUCAAACCAAGAGAUCUUCCUCCACAGCAUGCUGAGUUAUGUGACAAACUUCUAUCUGAACUUUGACCACAAAUAUGUCUUAGUUCCAGAUGCUUCAUAUGCAAAGUAGAGAUCUCUGUUUUCCAACAGUUUUCUGACCAAGAAAGUCCUGAAACUGUGUGUUUGUCACAAAGCUUUCCUUCCAGCUCAGCAGACGGCGAGUUUCUCUCAUUAAUGGUUCUCAGCAGCUCUGGCUCCACAUGCUCCAACACAACAAACCUGGACAAACAUGAGAGGCGGAUCCUGUAAAGGAGUCAUGGUGGGAGACAGGCUUUGCACCACGACUUCACAAGACGAGGAGAGAAGAUGCUGAGAUGUUUGGAACCACUCCAGAGGAAACAGAAACCCAACACGGAUGGGCUGCCUCAUUCCGGAUCCUCUGCAGCUUCAGCAUUGACCAAACAUGAGGCAACUUUAACAAGAGGCUAAAGAUCUGCACCUGUUGGAGUUCCUCAAACCACCACUAGGGGGACGUCUGCAGCUGCCACGGGCAGAAGUUGAGGAGACGUCCUUCAGAGAUCACAGACUGUGGACGUCCUGUUCAAUCCCCACGGCGUCCCUCAAAGAACAACCAGGAUGCUGAGCGGGAAGCGACCCCACGCAGAUCCAUGAUGACCCCUCACAGCCACUUAUGUCAAAGCAGGAGGCAGACACUAAUCUAAAUCAACAGUUCUGAAGACCCUGCUGGAUCAGAGGAACCACCGCACUGCUGAUCAGCUGAUCCUCUUUUGGUGCUGAAAGGACGUUUUUGGUUCUGUUUGGUUGUUUUAAACGAGUAAAAGCUGAAAAAAUAUA